rnacentral:rRNA from 1 species
GACAGAGGUGCCGAGCGUUAGGCGGAAUCACUGGGCUUAAAGCGUGUGUAGGCGGGUCGUUAAGUGUCUUGUGAAAUCCCACCGCUCAACGGUGGAACUGCUGGGCAUACUGGCGAUCUUGAGCCACCUAGGGGCAGACGGAACAAGCGGUGGAGCGGUGAAGUGCGUAGAUAUCGCUUGGAACGCCGACGGUGAAAACAGUCUGCUGGGGGUGUGCUGACGCUGAGACACGAAAGCCAGGGGAGCGAACGGG